rnacentral:lncRNA from 1 species
UUUUGUGGUCCUUAGUGAGAACAAUAGCACUCUCUAGUUUGAUAACGGGAUACUGAGUUUAUAUCUGCAGCUUUGUCUUUUGGCCAGGUGUUCAAAAGAAGAUAAACUCACUCUCUGGACUACUUCAGAUUUUUUUGGAAACACAAUCAGUUAUGUGCUUGUGACCAUUAAAAUAUGUUGAACCAGGACUGUCAGACUUUGCAAUCUAAGUGAAGCUUUUGCUGAACCUACUUAAACAUUAUUACAAAUAUUAAAAGACAAUUCCUAGAUUCCCCACAAGGAAAUGAAUUCAUUUUAUUCUAUAUUCUGCCUACAGAGAUCUUUUGUCUCCUUUAUCUCCCUCGUUGCCUUUUAUUACCAAAGAAAAUAUCACUAAGAGACUUCCCCCACACAUACAUAUAGAUGAACUCAGAAUAUACCUGACCUUACAGAAAUAAAUACCAAUGAUGCCAAGCUAAUGAGAAUAGUCUGUGGAAUCUAUCAGAAGGAGAGCAUGGCAAAGUCACUUUUCCUUCCAACAAACAAUAACACCUUGAUGAACCUUACAGAUUUAUUUUCUUUCCCAGAAGAAAACAGUCUCAGGGAAUCUAACUUCCUGUUUCACUGCAUUCACUGAACCUUGAAAAGAAAUGAUCACAGGUAACUCAGUCUGAUUGUAUCUACAGAAAUAGACAGAAAUGUGUCUAUAUGUGACACAGAGGGAAUCUGCUUGGCUGAAGUAAUCAUCCUGCUGAUGCUCAUUCUUUUUAAGUGUUUUAAAGCCAUAACACUGAAGGGCCUCAUCAGUUAUUUUUGUUUUCACUACUUCUCAGGAUUGCUUUAAUGGUGCUAUAGAGCUGAGAAGAGUUUUUGAAGAUGAAUUAUCAUGUUCAAAGGAUAAGUGACAAGAUCAUGCUCAGGAUAAGUGACAAGAUCAUGCUCAGGAUAAAACAACUGCUUUUCUAUUUCAGUAUACUUUUUAUUAUUACUUAUUAAAGAAUCUUACAACUUUGGAGAUAACAGGCUAACUGUUCUUCAGUAAUGCUACUCAUAAUCCAAAAUCACUAUUGGUUUGAAUUGCUACUAUCUCCAUCCUGCUAUAAUAUCUGAUGAUAUUUUUUUCCUGUAAUUAACAAAAAUCGGUUGUUGUGAGGAUUUCCCAAGCAACACACUGUGCUGGAUAAUUGUAAAUGAUCCAUGAAACUGUAAGGACUUGGAGAAAAUUAACUGAUAACUGAUGAGCUCUGCUCUAACAACAUUUCAAUGUACAGUAAGCAGCUGAAUCUCAGAACUUGUAUACUUCGAGCUACUUUUCCUAUUAAUUUUUUUUUUUAAGCUAAAAACAAGUUCUUGAAUAACAUCUGCAAACGUGUGUCAGUCUUUACAUGUGUUUAAAAAUGUUUAAUUUUUGUAGUGUAUAGGGCUGGCUAAAGAACUGUUGUAAUUCUAUAAAAUAGAAAUAAUAAAUAAAAAAAUGAAAUAGUAAAUAAGAUUUGGAAAAA